rnacentral:tRNA from 1 species
UGGCUCAGACGGUAAAGCAUCUGCCUACAAUGCGGGAGGCCCAGGUUCGAUCCCUGG